rnacentral:misc_RNA from 1 species
AGGUAAGUUGCCAUUAUAAAAUCAUGCUCUACCACAAAUGCAGUUUUCUUUGCGUGAAGAAUAAACCUCUUUAUGACUUUUGAAGCAACAAUACGCUGCUCAGAAUCUAGAUAAGCACUUGGUUCAUCUAUUAGAUAAAUGUCAGCAGGCUUUCCAAGGCAGAGGCACAAAGCAACUCUUUGCAACUCCCCACCAGACAGAUUCACUACUUCUUGAUCCAUUAGUUGUUCUAUAAGAAGCGGUUUCAUGACAUCUGACACAAACUGAGGAUGUGUAUAAGAAUCACGAAUUUUUUGAUGUAGCAAGUGUCUAACAGUAGAUUGGAACUUAGGACUGAUCUUCUGGGGCUUGUAAGAAACAUUAAACUCAGGUAUCUCCACAUCGGAAUCUUCGACGCUAUCAGGUUUUAAUAAGCCAGCCAGCAUACGAAUAAAUGUUGUCUUCCCUGUUCCAUUCUCACCCAACAUAACAAUUAUCUGAGAAUCUGUAAAUUCACCCUCAAUCACACGAAGCUUGAAGUUGCCCUGAGUUUUAGUCAUGGUUGGAUAUUUGUA